CAAGCUCCCCAUCGACCACAAUCUUCUAAAUCCAACCCUUUAUCCAUCCAAAAUUUCUUAUUUCUACCUUAAAAUCUUGGGUAGAUACUUCCUCAGCCUAUCCUUGAUCAAAACUCGCUCUUUCUUGCUCUCUACCAAACCCUUAAAACCCUCAUCUCAAAAUCCAAAGCAAACACCUCAAAAUCCCUUACUCCUCUUCAUUCCCAUCAACCUUUCACCCUUCAUUACUCUCUUGACCGGUUCCCUUGCCCUCAUUGCAGUAAUGGCUCCCAAGAUGCGGCUGCCCCA
rnacentral:lncRNA from 1 species